rnacentral:rRNA from 1 species
UAACAUUAAAUUAUUAAUUUUAUUUAUUUUUUUUUUAAUUAUUAAUAAAAAUAAUUUUAUUAUAUUUAGUUAUUGUAUAUUUUAUAAAUUAAAUAUUUUUUAUAAUAGUAAAUUUGUAUAGUAAUAGAUUUUUGAAAUAAAUUUUAUUAUAAAAAAAGUAAAUUUAUUUUAUUGUACCUUUUGUAUCAGGGUUUAUUAAAAAUAUUUUUUAUAAAAAAGAAAUCUCGAAUUUAAAAUAGUUAAAAUUAUAAAAAAUAUAUUGUAGUAAAAAUAUUUUUAAUAUAAUUUUAGUAAUGAAAUGUUAAUCGUUUUUAAAUAUAUCUAGUUUUUUAAGAAAUGAAUUUAAUUCAUAUAUUUUAUAAAAUUUAUUUAUUUUUUAUAAAUAAAUUUAUUUAAAUAUAAAAAUUUAAAGGGAUGAGCUUUUAAAUUUUAUUUUAUAAAUUUAUAUUAAAUUAUUAAAAUUAAUAGGAUUAGAAAUUUUCAAUUUUAAUUAAAAUGUUAUAAUUAAUUUUUUUUUUUUGUAAUAAUUUAUUUUUAUUUUAAAUUUAGUAUUAAAAUAAUAUUUAUAAUAAUUAAUUUAUUUAAUAAUGAUAAAAUUAGUAUUAAUUUAUUUAUAUAAAUAUAAAAUUUAUUUAGAUAAAAAUAAGGAAUUCAGCAAAUAUUACACUCACCUGUUUAUCAAAAACAUGUCUUUUUGAGUAUAAUUUAAAGUCUAACCUGCCCACUGAUUUUUAUUUAAGGGCCGCAGUAUUUUGACUGUGCAAAGGUAGCAUAAUCAUUUGUCUUUUAAUUGAAGGCUGGAAUGAAUGGUUGAAUGAAGUGUAUACUGUCUCAUUUUUAUAAAUUAAUAAUUUAGCUUUUAAAUUAAAAGGUUUAAAUGAAAUUAAAAGACGAGAAGACCCUAUAGAUUUUUAUUUAAUUUAUUUUUAUAAAUUUAAGUAAAAUAUUAUUUUUAAAAAUAAGUUAAAUUUGGUUGGGGUGAUUAAAAAAUUUAAUAAACUUUUUUUAUUUUUAAACAUUUAUUUAUGAAUAAUUGAUCCAAUAAUAUUGAUUAAAAGAUUAAAUUACCUUAGGGAUAACAGCGUAAUUUUUUUAAAGAGUUCUUAUCGAUAAAAAAGAUUGCGACCUCGAUGUUGAAUUAAAGGUUAUUUUAAAAUGUAGCAGUUUUAAGUUUAGGUCUGUUCGACCUUUGAAUCUUUACAUGAUUUGAGUUCAGACCGGUGUAAGCCAGGUCGGUUUCUAUCUUUAAUUAAAUAAAAUAUUUUAGUACGAAAGGACCAAAUAUUAAAAAUAUUUUUUAAAUUAUUGAAUAUUAUUAAUAU